rnacentral:rRNA from 1 species
GAUGAACGCUGGCGGCGUGCCUAAUACAUGCAAGUCGAGCGAACAGACGAGGCGCUUGCUCCUUUGACGUUAGCGGCGGACGGGUGAGUAACACGUGGAAAACCUCCCUAUAAGACUGAGAUAACUUCGGAAAACCGGCUCUAAUACCGUAUAAUAUAUUGAACCGCAUGGUUCAAUGGUAAAAUACGGUUUUUCUGUCUCUUAUAGAUGCUUCCCCGCCGCAUUAGCUAGUUGGUAAGGUAACGGCUUACCAAGGCAACGAUGCGUAGCCGACCUGAGAGGGUGAUCGGCCACACUGGAACUGAGACACGGUCCAGACUCCUACGGGAGGCAGCAGUAGGGAAUCUUCCGCAAUGGGCGAGAGCCUGACGGAGCAGCGCCGCGUGAGUGAUGAAGAUCUUCGGAUCGUAAAACUCGGUUAUUAGGGAAGAACAAAUGUGUAAGUAACUAUGCACGGCUUGACGGUACCUAAUCAGAAAGCCACGGCUAACUACGUG